rfam:Ricinus communis cultivar Hale ctg_1100012360253, whole genome shotgun sequence.
AAACUAUGGUGUGGACAGCUCCUCAGUAAAACCUUGAAACAUUCCUAACAAUCGUAUAAGGUCUCAUUCUCUUACUGAAGAGAUCUUGCUAUGUCAUUCCUCAGCUU